GAUGAACGCUGGCGGCGUGCUUAACACAUGCAAGUCGAACGGUAAAGCCGUAGCUUGCUGUGCUGGAUGAGUGGCGAACGGGUGAGUAACACGUGAGCAACCUGCCCUUGACUUUGGGAUAAGCUCAGGAAACGGCGGCUAAUACUGGAUAGGAGCUGCGACGGCAUCGUCAGCAGCGGAAAAGCACUGCGGUCGGGGAUGAGCUCGCGGCCUAUCAGCUUGUUGGUGGGGUAGCGGCUCACCAAGGCGUCGACGGGUAGCCGGCCUGAGAGGGUGACCGGCCACACUGGGACUGAGACACGGCCCAGACUCCUACGGGAGGCAGCAGUGGGGAAUAUUGCACAAUGGGCGGAAGCCUGAUGCAGCAACGCCGCGUGAGGGACGACGGCCUUCGGGUUGUAAACCGCUUUUGGCUGGGAAGAAGCGAGAGUGACGGUACCGGAAGAAAAAGCGCCGGCUAACUACGUG
rnacentral:rRNA from 1 species